GACGAGGCCAUGAACAUGAUCCACAAAGCUUUUGCCAUGUUAGAUGAGGAAUUCCAGAAACUAGACAGAGAAAAGGAAGCACUUGCGCGGGACACAGAGGCUCUACAGAAUGAGCGCGACGCUCAGAACCAGCAUCUGCUGAGACAGAAACAGGAACUUCAGGAUAUGCUGGAAAGACACAGGACUCAGAACGAGGCAUGGCUGCGUGCGCGAGCAGACGAGAACGACAGGGAGAGGAAGGAGCUGUGUAAACUAAGGGAGGAGGUGCUCCAGGAGCAGGAGAGGCUGAAAGAGGAGCAGUGCAAUAUCCAAAAACGCAGUGAGCAGCUCCUGUCCAUUAUGCAGCAGUUCAAAGGCAUGUGAAGACACUGUCUCCAUGGCAACCGCA
rnacentral:lncRNA from 1 species